GAUGAACGCUGGCGGCGUGCCUAAUACAUGCAAGUCGAGCGAACGGACGAGAAGCUUGCUUCUCUGAUGUUAGCGGCGGACGGGUGAGUAACACGUGGAUAACCUACCUAUAAGACUGGGAUAACUUCGGGAAACCGGAGCUAAUACCGGAUAAUAUUUUGAACCGCAUGGUUCAAAAGUGAAAGACGGUCUUGCUGUCACUUAUAGAUGGAUCCGCGCUGCAUUAGCUAGUUGGUAAGGUAACGGCUUACCAAGGCAACGAUGCAUAGCCGACCUGAGAGGGUGAUCGGCCACACUGGAACUGAGACACGGUCCAGACUCCUACGGGAGGCAGCAGUAGGGAAUCUUCCGCAAUGGGCGAAAGCCUGACGGAGCAACGCCGCGUGAGUGAUGAAGGUCUUCGGAUCGUAAAACUCUGUUAUUAGGGAAGAACAUAUGUGUAAGUAACUGUGCACAUCUUGACGGUACCUAAUCAGAAAGCCACGGCUAACUACGUGCCAGCAGCCGCGGUAAUACGUAGGUGGCAAGCGUUAUCCGGAAUUAUUGGGCGUAAAGCGCGCGUAGGCGGUUUUUUAAGUCUGAUGUGAAAACCCACGGCUCAACCGUGGAGGGUCAUUGGAAACUGGAAAACUUGAGUGCAGAAGAGGAAAGUGGAAUUCCAUGUGUAGCGGUGAAAUGCGCAGAGAUAUGGAGGAACACCAGUGGCGAAGGCGACUUUCUGGUCUGUAACUGACGCUGAUGUGCGAAAGCGUGGGGAUCAAACAGGAUUAGAUACCCUGGUAGUCCACGCCGUAAACGAUGAGUGCUAAGUGUUAGGGGGUUUCCGCCCCUUAGUGCUGCAGCUAACGCAUUAAGCACUCCGCCUGGGGAGUACGACCGCAAGGUUGAAACUCAAAGGAAUUGACGGGGACCCGCACAAGCGGUGGAGCAUGUGGUUUAAUUCGAAGCAACGCGAAGAACCUUACCAAAUCUUGACAUCCUUUGACAACUCUAGAGAUAGAGCUUUCCCCUUCGGGGGACAAAGUGACAGGUGGUGCAUGGUUGUCGUCAGCUCGUGUCGUGAGAUGUUGGGUUAAGUCCCGCAACGAGCGCAACCCUUAAGCUUAGUUGCCAUCAUUAAGUUGGGCACUCUAAGUUGACUGCCGGUGACAAACCGGAGGAAGGUGGGGAUGACGUCAAAUCAUCAUGCCCCUUAUGAUUUGGGCUACACACGUGCUACAAUGGACAAUACAAAGGGCAGCGAAACCGUGAGGUCAAGCAAAUCCCAUAAAGUUGUUCUCAGUUCGGAUUGUAGUCUGCAACUCGACUACAUGAAGCUGGAAUCGCUAGUAAUCGUAGAUCAGCAUGCUACGGUGAAUACGUUCCCGGGUCU
rnacentral:rRNA from 1 species